rnacentral:rRNA from 1 species
UAAUACAGAGGGUGCGAGCGUUAAUCGGAGUUACUGGGCGUAAAGGGCGCGUAGGCGGUUAGACAAGUGAGAUGUGAAAGCCCUGGGCUUAACCUAGGAAUGGCAUCUUAAACUGUAUAGCUAGAGUGAAGUAGAGGGUAGUGGAAUUUCCGGUGUAGCGGUGAAAUGCGUAGAGAUCGGAAGGAACACCAGUGGCGAAGGCGACUACCUGGACUUAGACUGACGCUGAGGCGCGAGAGCGUGGGGAGCAAACAGGAUUAGAUACCCUGGUAGUCCACGCUGUAAACGAUGAGAACUAGAUGUUGGUGCGCGCGAGCGCAUAAGUAUCGAAGCUAACGCGAUAAGUUCUCCGCCUGGGGAGUACGGCCGCAAGGUUA